rnacentral:misc_RNA from 1 species
AAGAGAAGGGAUUCCGUCCCGGGGCUUCGGCCCUCCUCUUCACCCUUUGUCAACUUUCUUUGUUGCUUUGGCGGGCCAUGACUUGUCAUGUCGACGUCUGCCGGCAAGUGCCCGCCAAAGGAUUUUAAAACUCAUCUUUUUUGCUGUCUGAACAAACUUAAAUAAAGCA